GGAGGAUUAGCUCAGCUGGGAGAGCACCUGCCUUACAAGCAGGGGGUCGGCGGUUCGAUCCCGUCAUCCUCCACCAUUU
rnacentral:tRNA from 4 species